rnacentral:lncRNA from 1 species
AAUAGUCUCAAAAGAAAGACAAGGGCUUCACCUAAGGAGACAGUGUGAGGAAGGAGAGUAGGUUUGAAAUAUUUGUGAGGCAGAUAUCAAAUGAGACUUUCCAACUUCUGGUUGCAAAGUGAGGUAGCAAAGUCUCUGCCUCUCUUUGUCUCACGGGCACAUGCUUAUAUACACACCUGAAACAAAAAUUCAGAAAACAAUACCAACUUAAGUGCUUGCAUUCUGAUGUAUUAUAAUCUAUUUUUUAAAAUGCUGGUUGCAAACUGUGGGAUUGAUUUCCCAACUAACGCACUAAUGUGACCCUAAGUUUGAAAAAUCUUUCUUCAAAGGCAGGUUACAGGUGCGUCUUACUGAGGACCCUAUGUUUUAACAUGUGUUUGGUUUUUCUAAUCCUCUGUGACCCCUGAGUACUUGUACUUAGGAGCCAGGUUGUGAAGUGGAUUGAUCCUUAUAAUUAUAGGCUUACAGAAUAUAGCAUUCCAUUGCUUUAAAAGUAACAAAGAAUUGAAGAAUUAAAAAAGUUAUUACAUUCCAUAAUUUAAGAGCCAGAGAAAGAACCAUGAUUCAUAUUUUGCAUUAGAAGUCUUAGAGCUUCCAUACACAUAUACACAUAGUGCUUAUUACUCUUUGUCAGUCAUCAUCCCAAGUUUUUCCCCUUCAAAAAAUGAAAAAAUAUAGAAACUAACUUUAUAGUUAAGAAAUUGAGUAACAGAAAAGUCAGAAAACUUGCCAAAGUUCUUAGAGUUAAGAUGCAGGAUGCUUUCACACUUCAAAAGGCUCUGGCUAUGUAUAUCACCCCUGCUGGGUCUUUUUUCUUUUUUCCUUCCUCUUAAUAUGUCAGAACUAUUGUUCAUGUAAUCACAUUUUUAUAGCAUUUGUGUGUGUGUGUAGCAAUUCUGUGAUUUUAUUUUGGAAAGUUUUCUAUUGUGGGAAUGUCAACCUUCUUGAACUUUCAUUACUAAAAUAAUACUGCUGUAAACAUUUCCUUAGAUCAACUUUCACUAGCCUAACUUCUGAACUUCUGAAUAAUGAAGUAAGGAAAACAGUCACAAAAUAAAAGAACUGUUUUCUUUUUAAAAUAUAAUAAAUUUAUUCUCUCAUGAUAUGGAAACUGUACAGCCCAUUUUUAAUAUUAAUUUAACAUUCUAGUGCAUUGUUUUAAAAAAUGUUUACUCUAGGGGCCUCUGGGUAGCUCAGUCAAUUAAAUGUCUAUCUUCAGCUCAGGUCAUGAUCUCAGGGAUCUGGGAUGGAGCCUGGAGUCAGGUUCCCUACUCAGCAGGGAGUCUGCUUCUCCCUCUCCCUCUGCCACUACCCUCACUCAUAUGUGUGUGUGUGUGUGUGUGUGUGUGUGUGUGUAUUCUCUCUCUCUCUGUCAAAUAAAUAAAAUCUUUCAAAAAUGUUUACUCUAUAUUUCUCUAUGUAUAUGUGUGUGUAACUAAUAUAAAAGUACCUAUAGAUUUUCACUCUGUUCAGUGAGAUUAGCAGACAUUCACCUACCAACCUUGUCUACCCUACAGGCUUCUUGGAUUUUCCUGGUAUCUAAGAUUUAGGCCUACCUUUUAAAACUUAUCCCUUUUUCAUAUGUUUCCUCUUUUUGCAAUAGCUAUUUUUGAACUUUGUAUUUGGUUUUCAUUUAUGUUUAAUAAACAUUAUUUCACACUAAACCUUAUCUCUUUUUCAAAUGAUCUCUUCAUUUUUGAAUCAUUCUAUUUUGAUUAUUUGUUCAGGUAUUGAGUAAUUAUUUUGUUUGUUUUGUAAAAAGGGCAUGUGUACAAUUCCAUGGUUUGUAAAAGUUGUCUCUACAAUCAUUAGGUAUUAAAUAUCAAAUGCAGAGAUGAUGCUGUUCCACAAAAUUGACAUUUUUUAAAUAAAGAAAUAAAUAUUACUUGGUCUGUAAACUAAAGAAAUUACCAUUUUCCUUAUUUGGGAGAUAAGAGUUAAAUAUACACAAUGACAACAAUUAUUUGGUGCCAAAAUCAGUGCCCAAAACAAUAAUCUGCCCAAGGUUUCAAGACGGAGAAAUCCCUCCCUUUGAGAGGGGGCAGGGAAAAUGUCCUCUGUUGAGUCACAGGGACCUGACUGUGACUGGUCCUGGUUCAGGACCAGGUUCAGUCUGUUUCCACUUCUCCUUAUGAAACAGCACACCUUCAGAAGGAGCUCUGGAAACUUCUCAGAAGACAGAGGAACUAACCCACUGCCAUCUAAUUAGAAAGCACAGGAAGAGCCAGACCUCCAAGAAAAGCUAUUUGCAUAACUGGAAAACCCCUGGAGGAGCCAUUCAGGUCAUCUUAUUUUUGUUCUUCCUGACAUUCGGGCCUCUCUUAUUAGCUAUUUAUGUGUAAACAAAGACAGGUACUCAUUUCAUGCUGUUUCUUAAUUUGUGACCCAUAUGUAUAAUGCAAACACCAUAAACUUAUAUCUAAAACCUUUCUGUGAACAGGUCAUCGCUAGGUGACUGAAAUGAUUUUCCCAAGCUACAUGGAUGCUAACAAGCCAGUCUUUGAAAGUAGGGAGACACAAGCAUUAUCACUUGGAGUGAAUUUUUUGUUGCACUUUAAUACAGAAUAUGGAAUCACCAGAAAAAAAGCAGGAAGUCUUUUUUUUUAAUUUCCCAAUAAUGAUCUGGUAGACUCAGAUGGCACAUGCCUAUUUCCCCUUGAUCUUUUACCCCUUCUUCCAACCUGGGGUGUAGAUUUGCCCUCCCAAGGAGUUAAAGAGAACCAUGAAGUUGAAAACUACACAGAGGAUGAAAACUGCAUGAUUGAGAGCAAGGAUACUAGAAGAAACCUGAAUGCUUGGGUAGAAUUGGCAGUUCCCCACGGAGCUUGACAAACCAGCUGAGCUCUCCUGCUAAUUGGGAAAAACAAAUCUCUUUCUGGUUAACGCACUAUUACAUGGAUUUCUGUGAAAGGUAGCCCAAUACAUUCAAAAUUGAUUCAGUGGAUGGUACCUUUCCAUGAGCAGGCAAAUUUCAUGGGACUGGGAUUUUGGUCUACCAUGCAUAUUACUGAAUACUUCUAGAACAAUGCCUAGUAUGUGGGAGGGGCUCAUCUAUGCAGACCUAUUGGGUGGAUGGAUGGACAUAUAGUCAAUUCAAUUUCCAUCUUUAUCUCUUAUGUUUCUUCUAUUUUUAAAAGAAUAUACAUUUUAGGGGUGCCUUAGGCAGUUAAGCUCCCAACUCUUGGUUUCAGCUCAGGUUGGUAUCUUAGGGUCAUGAGAUCAAGCCCAGGGUGAGGCUCCAUGCUCAAUGCGAAAUCUGCUUGAGAUUCUCUGCCUUCCUCUGCCCUCCACCCACCCUCCCUCUCUCCCAAAUAAAUAAAUACAUCUUUUAAAAAUAUAGUAAAAAGGAACACCUUGGUGGCUCAGUGAGCAUCUGCCUUUGGCUCAGGUCAUGAUCUAGGGGUACUGAGAUUGAGUCCCACAUUAAGCUCCCCGCAGGGAGCUUGCUUCUCCCUCUGCCUAUAUCUCUACCUCUCUCUGUGUGUCUCACAUGACUACAUAAAUAAAAUCUUUAAAAAUAUAUAGAGUAAAAAAAAAAACAUUUUCUAUAUAUCUUUCCAGUUUAUUUGCCUGUCUGAUGCACUACUCUAGGACCAGUUUGAGAGCCUAUCUACCACACAUACAAACCCCAAUGCUGUAAGAAUAUCUUUAGGCUUUGUAUCAUUUUCCACUGGGUAGGCAAAAGUGGUUUUGCACAUAAUUUGCAUUUGAGUUUUGCAUGAAGUUCAAUGUUUUUCAAACAUGAGCAGCCAUAGCAUAUUUAUUUAAGAUUAAACAUCCAUCUUCUGAUGAUGAGUCUUAGUUUACUGCUGGCUCUGGAAACAUGUGGCUCUUGGCCCUCAGACGCUGUUGUCUGCAUGCUGGAGCCCUGGCCUUGGAAUAAGAACUGGGUAAGCUUCCAACCUUGCCUGUUUCUGACUCUUGUGAUCGUAGCCAAAUAUAAUUUUAUUUCUCUGAGUUUUCUUCCUUUCCUUUCCUUGUCUGUGAGUCACAGCAAAUGCCACUGUCUUAGUCUGUUGAGGCUACUAGAAUAAAAUAUUAUAGAUUAGGUGGCUUAAACAGUAGACACUUAUUUUCUCAUAACUCUGGAGACUUGAAAUCUGGAAUCAGGGUGCUAGAAUGGUCAAAUUCUAGUGAGAGCUCUUAGCCUAGCCUAUAUGGCUGCCUUCUCGCUCUGUACUCAAAUGGGUUUUCUCUGCUACAUGCAUGCCGGAACUAUCUUCCCCUCUUCCUCUUAAGGCCAUCAAUCUUAUUUGACUAGGACCUCACUUUUAUAACUUCUUAAACUCAAAUACUUGCUAAAGCCUAUCCCCAGAUAGAAUCACAUUGGAAUUAGGGCUUCAACAUAUGAAUUCUGGGGGGACAUAUUUCAAUCAACACUAGACACCUUUCUCAUGGAGUCAUUAGGAGGCUUGUAAGAGACAAUGCAGAUAAAAGUAGGUUCAGUUACACACACAACCAAAUGUAGCUUAUUAUUCCAGUAUAGUCCUGAACAGAGGAGGGACCUACUAAAUACCAAUUUUUGGUCUUAACUUCAGAGCCUGCUUACUCUACAUAUGGUGUCUUUCCAUGGAAUGAUUGUGAUCAUGAGCAGCAGUUCAUUUCUUAUGGGAUCAUGGCUAAUGAAAACAUGGGGGGAAAGUACC